rnacentral:rRNA from 1 species
UACGUAGGGAGCAAGCGUUGUCCGGAAUCAUUGGGCGUAAAGCGCGCGUAGGUGGCCACAUAAGUCCGUUGUGAAAGUCAAAGGCUCAACCUUUGAAAGCCGAUGGAUACUGUGUGGCUAGAGUACGGAAGAGGCGAGUGGAAUUCCUGGUGUAGCGGUGGAAUGCGCAGAUAUCAGGAGGAACACCGGUGGCGAAGGCGGAUCUCUGGGCCGAUACUGACGCUGAGGAGCGAAAGCGUGGGGAGCGAACAGG